CCUGUGCUUUAGUUCACGAAAGUUAGGUAGGUUGCUGCCUUAGCUGUUGUAACAUGAACACAUUUUUCAGCUGUUUGUUAUUAUUAUUUCCAACUAACCAAUAGUAGUUGCCAUGCAUUUUUUUUUGUAUCAAUGCACUUUGAGCCCUGAAUAACAGUAAAAGCUAUUGAAUGAUUGAUUUGCAUGCAUAGUCUACUACACUUUCCAUUAAACAAAUCCCCCAACAGUUAGCUGAACAUUAUAUGGUCGCAUCCUUCCACUCCCUGUUUUCUUACCCUGUUUAAACAAGAAAUCAACUGCAUUUGUCCCAGUGUUUGUGCUAUGGGAAAUUAAAGGUCCCAUGGCAUGCUACUUCAUGGAUGCUUUAAUAUAGGUAUUAGUGGGCCCCAAACACAGUAUUUGAAGAUGUUCCUGAAAUUCAGCCGUGGUGCAGAAUUACAGCCACUACGGGCAGUCGCACAUUGAGCUUUCCCCAAAUGUGCCGUUUCUGUGUCAGUAGCUUUAAUGCAAAUGAGGAGGAGAGAGGCGGGUCAAGAAGGAGGGUGGGGGUGUGGCCCUGAGCAGCUUGAGGCCAAGGUACCAUGCGCUCUGCUUACAGUGGAUGUAUCGCAAUGACGAAGCAUACAACAAUCAAUCCCUUUCUCCUCAAUGUCAUGGUUCAUGUACUUCAGGGAGUCAAAGCCAAAGUUCCUUUCCCCCAAUUCCUUCUCAACCAUGGCGGAGAUAACCCCAACUACAGUCUGGUUGUGGAAUUACUAGGGACGUCAAAGAACCGACGUUUUAUGCGCCAUAGCAUCAAAGCAGAACGGUUAUCCAAACUACAAAGCACCACACAUGUGGCGCUCGCAUGGUCGUAGCUCAUUGUCCGAUUGGCAGGCCGAAUUUUCUGGGCGGGCCAGUCAGAGAAAGGGGAGGUAACUUGGCCCCUUAUGACGCCCAUAUGGGGCCACAUUACAAAUCAGCGCCCCUUAGCUUCCAUUUUUUUUAGAGGCGAGCAGGAUACCUAGUGCUCGUUUUACACCGAACGCAAGUUUUAGCCACUGGGAGACGAUAGGCAGGCUAGGGGAACUCAUAUUAAUGUUAGAAAACCUCAUAAAGGGAGAUUUUCAUGCCAUGGGACCUUUAAGCAAUAAAAUACACUCUCCUUCUCCAGUAUCGUUCGCGACACCCUUCUUCUUCGUCUUUUCUUGAAUUUGUCUCUAACUCAUGCUCUAAUCUUUCAUUGAUCGAUUCUUCGGAUGUUGUGAAUGCAACAGAAUAUAUAUGAUGCAUCGUUGCAGUAACAUUUAAGAUGAUGGCGAUGAGUUCUGCCCGUUCUGCCUCCGUGCUGUCUGCGGUCAAACCAAAACAAACUACAGUGUCAGCGGCCGCACUUAUCCCGCCUCUUGCGAACUUCGACCAUGCGUCCAAUCCCGCCCUUUGCAAGCCCACCCCCCUAGAUUCUGCUGAUGUCUGAACGACAUCGAUGCCCGCAGAUAAAGCAUCAAGUGUGAAAAACCCUCAGGGUCGAAUCUUCUGAUAUACAAAUACGGCAAACUUAAAAAUAUUAUGCUUGCUUCAUGAAGUUAGGAGAAAAUUGUUAUGCUUGCUUCGUUACGUUAUAGGUGAACCAAUAUAUUAUACGUUGUAACAUUAUAGGCAAUUCUUUUUUUUAAUAUUUAAUUAUAUUACAUUAUGCGCUCAGAAAUUAAAUAGAAUAUCGACAGUAACAUUUAAGAUGAUGGCGAUGAGUUCUACCCGUUCUGCCUCCGUGCUGAACGGGCAGUUUCAUAUUAUUAGCUAUGGGUUUAAAAACUACUAGAGGUUGAGCGCAGGCAACGCACACACGGACACUCUAGUCUUACUUCUAUAUAAUAGCAGGCCUGUCGCACCAGUUACUCAAGUUGGUCAGUGUGCACGUGCCAAGCAGCCUGCAGCUCUCACACACACACAGCACACGCAAACGCAUACAUACACCGCAAGCACGCACAUACACACCGCAUCCACACACACCGAACAAACACACCACACACAUACGCAGCUGUGCACAAACAUACACGGAAUCACACACACACGCACGCACACACACCACUAGCCAAUACAAAGGCAGCGACACACUCGCCCAGGUAAGAGGUUAUGUUUUAACCGUAACGGCUCCGCCAUCGACACACGCGCAGGUAAGAACAAACACGCACGCACACACACCGCAGCGACACUCGCCCAGGUAACACGUUAUGUUUUCAAACAUAACGGCUCCGUCAUCGACACACGCGCCCAGGUAAGACCACACACGCACACACCGCGACUCGCCCAGGUUAGACGUUAUUUUUUUAAACAUCUUACUGCUAUAGAAUAGCAGGCCUGUCGCACAGGUGAAGGUGCGUCCACACCAAACGCGAAGGGGCGACAUGACUCCAUACAAAUUCAACGUAGAGACUCGAUCAAAGGCCGGGCCUUUGAUCAAGCGUUUGUGUUCUUUUUGUCUCAUUGCUUUAUUGGGCUAAUCUGAGGAGAAAUCUAUGCCAUAAACAGAAAUAUUAUAGGCCUUUAUUACACGGGUCUUCUCAAUGCCGUGGAACGCUCCGUUCACUUGCAUGGGUAUUAGUCCGGUAACUUGUCAACCCCAGCGGCAGACUAUUUCACUGCUGAUCAACACUACGAAUGCUGGUAACGAAUAAAUUGUGAAAAGACACACCAUGUGAAGUUAUUUUCCAAAUAAGAUUUGAAAAACUUUGGAAGUUUAUUUAGAACACUAUUUACAUGGUUUCGGAGUAGAACACUUUGACAUUUGAAUACAGUUCAGCGAGAAAGGCGACGAAGAAUAAGAAGGGGGCGUUCCAGUCUGCGUGAAGGGGAACCCCCACCACACGAGAACGCCCAUUUGUGUCUGCAGUGGGAUGAUCAUAGAUAUAUAUAGAACACUAGAUACGUCACGGCAAUGUUGAGCUCCGGUCGGCUGACGGCCACCGCGGCGGCAAUCUUGAAUGGGUCAACCCGCUGUCUAGUGCAUUACACCACAUGGAAAAUUCAUACAAAGAUGUAGCAAAUUUGAGCGGUGAUGGCUCAGUGGAUGACACUAAAAACAUCAUAGUUGAUAUUCCAUGUUUGAUUUUAAGAUUUUUUUUUUUCCUCUAUGUUAUACAAGAAACACACUUUUUAACACAUGACAUUUAUAUGUUAAAAAGUGUGUAUAUAUAUAUAUAUGUAUAUGUGUGUGUAUAUACACAUAUAUAUAUACACACAUAUAUGUAUAUAUGUAACUAUAUAUAUAUAGUUAUAUAUAACUAUAUAUAAUUAUAAAGUGAUUCCCUCUGAUCUGGUUUGUACUGAACGACGGUGUACACACUUGAAAGCAGCACAAUGAACUGGCAUUGUUUUUUUUUGAGAAAUGAGCUGUGAACAUCUAUGGCUGUCUGACAGUCUGAGGGUGUGUUCGAAACCGCGUACUUGCUUACUACUCGUACUAACUAUGACGUCAAAUUGAGUAAGCGAGAACUUAGUAAGCGAGUUUAGGUAAGCGAGUAGUAUCCGAAUGUCUUCUACUUCCGGAAAGAUUUUGAGUAAGCAUCGCUAGCUUACUAGACGUACUCAACUGCCCCAGAAUGCACUGCGUCUAUUCAAAAGAACAGUGGAAGCAAUGGCGCUAAACGGGGAGCCGCAGCAGCAGUGCUUUUAAUAAUUGUUUAAUAAUUGUUUUAACAUAUCACCGCAAAUCCUUAGGUUGAAGGUGUACUGUGACGUUAAACGUGACGUUUAUAUAUUUAUUUAUAACAUUUAUUAACGGCGCCCGGCCGGUAGGUUAUUGACACGUCAUUUGAUUCACGUCAUCUGAGGUGGUUAAGUAAGGACGGUCUUCUGAACGUCGAUUACUCAAAUGGAGUACUCAAUUAUUAUUUAAGGAUUCGAGAAGUAAGCCAAAUAUUUAGUAGGUAGUAAGCAGUAAGCAAGUAGGCGGUUUCGAACACACCCUGAGAAUACCUACUCAAGACCCACACAAGAUGGCGGCUCCGUGUGCCGCGGCUGAGAGGGGCGUGGCGUAUCUAGUGUUCUAUAUAUAUCUAUGGGGAUGAUAUUGAAAUAUUUGAACUUCACCGCGACAUUCGUGUGAUGACAGCCAAUCAGCAUUCAACGGCUACUGAGUGACAUAACGUAACAGCCAAUCAGCUUUCAACAGCGUGGCCACUGAGGGACGUAACGUAACAGCCAAUCAGCGUUCAACAGCGUGGCCACUGAGUGACGUAACGUAACAGCCAAUCAGCUUUCAACCGGCCAACCGUUCCCUGCAGUGCCGACCGGGUGAACCGCAGCAUGGAGGAGAAGGGAUUGUUGCCGUUUGCACUCCCGGAGCUCUAUCUAUAAUAGUAUAUAAUAUGAUAUAAAUGUAAUGUAUAAUAUUACGGCCAGAAGCUGUGUGAGCCUCCGGACGGCCGUAGCGCGUCGGGAUUGGGCUUCGAGGGGUUUGUUUACCGGCGUUGCUAGGGUUACCGGUCCUGUGUGUUCCAACGGUUUAUUAGCGGUGGUAUCUAAUAAAUCGCUGUCUAAUCAAUACUUCAUUCACUGCCUCUUCCAUGGUCAUUACGAUAUUAUGGACCGACUGCGUCUGGUUCUCCGCCGUCCCUCCCUCUUCCACAACAGACUCACCGUCACCCUGGAUAGAGGGGAGAGAGCACUUACUGGAUGAACUCGAUGAAUUGACACUUCAGGGCUGGAUGCUUCACGACAAGAGUCUCUACCGUGUUUCUACUACUAAGAAGGGCUGGAGGGCCAGUAGAGAAGACUGUCAGAAGAGAAAGGCAGACCUGGUGGUCAUCAACAGCAGAGAAGAACUGAACCAGGUUUCCAGGUUGGUCAGCAGAUUGGUGGGUU